rnacentral:misc_RNA from 1 species
GGAAAAUGGAUACUAACUGCUUGUAAAAGCGAAAAAUAUUUCUGAUAGAUAAUAUUCCAAUCAAGGAGAACUAACUCAGGAAAACAAAGUUCAGUAUUGCUAAUUACAAUCACAAAAGUAUCCUAAUUACAGAACAAAAUGCUCCUAUAAAACCAUGUAACGGGUGUUUUCCCAUGGUAUGGUUGAAAUCUCUGAAUGCUAGUGUUAUAGAUGGAGAUUUGAGAGGCAAGAAGAAAUGCUCGAUCUGUAAAUUUCCACUCACAAGAUGCAAUUUCAAGCUGUAAUUUUUCCAAUCUGGAAAGCUAUAGACAUCCUUUUGCGAGUGCUAAAAACAUAAGAAGAUAAUGAAUAUUGGGAGGGGUGAAAAAGGGUUCUGAACUGCAAGGCACAUGCAAAAAACUGAACCUGCUAACAGUAGGACCAGCCACGGUCCGCUUCCAAUUCCAGGGCUUUCAGUUCCAGUCCUGGUGGAUGGAUGCUGUUUUGAUCAAAGAUCAAAUCCAAAAAUCCAAAAAAAAAUCAAAUUUUCUUUUUUAAAGGUAAAUUUAAGUUUUGGCCUAUACCAUACUGGUCAGUUACGGUCUAGCUCAAAUACGGUUCCAAUCAAUCCGGGUUAGACAGGUCUGGUUCCGAUCCGGACCAUGGCUGGGUCUAGCUAAAAGUAUUCUGUAAUUAUGUAACAUCUGUGACUUCCAGGGAAGAAAUCCCAUGCCUCUUAUCUCUAUACUCCUCCCUUGAUUUCACUUUAAUCAGAAUGCCGCACUGUUAAAAAAAAAAAAGUAAAAAAUGAAGAGCAACACAGAAUUAGUACAAAUGUCACUUGCAAGUUAAAAUAAUUAAUCUUCCUUCUGCUUUUUUGAUG